CGCGUAGGCGGCUUAGCAAGUCAGAUGUGAAAGCCCCGGGCUUAACUCGGGAAUUGCAUCUGAAACUGCUUUGCUUGAGUCCUGGAGGGGGUAGUGGAAUUCCCAGUGUAGCGGUGAAAUGCGUAGAUAUUGGGAGGAACACCUGCGGCGAAGGCGGCUACCUGGACAGUGACUGACGCUGAGGCGCGAAAGCUAGGGGAGCGAACGGGAUUAGAUACCCCGGUAGUCCUAGCCGUAAACGAUGGGCACUUGGUGUUGGGGGUAUUGAGUCCCCCGGUGCCGGAGUUAAUACGUUAAGUGCCCCGCCUGGGGAGUACGGUCGCAAGACUGAA
rnacentral:rRNA from 1 species